rnacentral:rRNA from 1 species
AGUGAAUAGAUACCCCGGUAGUCCUAGCUGUAAACUUUGGGUACUGGGUAUUGGGGGCAACAAACCCUCAGUGCCGAAAGCGAAACGCGUUAAAGUAUCCCGCCUGGGGACUACGGCCGCAAGGUUAAAACUCAAAGGAAUUGACGGGGACCCGCACAAGCAGCGGAGCGUGUGGUUUAAUUCGAUGUGACACGAAGAACCUUACCUGGGUUUGACAUGAAGGUAGUAGGGAAGCGAAAGCAGACCGACCCUUCGGGGAGCCUCCACAGGUGCUGCAUGGCUGUCGUCAGCUCGUGCCGUGAGGUGUUGGGUUAAGUCCCACAACGAGCGCAACCCCUGUUGCCAGUUAGAGAUUUCUGGCGAGACUGCCGGCAUAUAACCGGAGGAAGGUGGGGAUGACGUCAAGUCAGCAUGGCCUUUAUAUCCAGGGCUACACACACGCUACAAUGGCCGGUACAGAGGGAGCGAAGUCGCGAGGCGGAGCAAAUCUCAGAAAGCCGGUCUCAGUUCAGAUUGCAGGCUGCAA